rnacentral:rRNA from 1 species
AUUGAACGCUGGCGGCAGGCCUAACACAUGCAAGUCGAACGGUAACAGGAAACAGCUUGCUGUUUCGCUGACGAGUGGCGGACGGGUGAGUAAUGUCUGGGAAACUGCCUGAUGGAGGGGGAUAACUACUGGAAACGGUAGCUAAUACCGCAUAACGUCGCAAGACCAAAGAGGGGGACCCUCGGGCCUCUUGCCAUCGGAUGUGCCCAGAUGGGAUUAGCUUGUUGGUGGGGUAACGGCUCACCAAGGCGACGAUCCCUAGCUGGUCUGAGAGGAUGACCAGCCACACUGGAACUGAGACACGGUCCAGACUCCUACGGGAGGCAGCAGUGGGGAAUAUUGCACAAUGGGCGCAAGCCUGAUGCAGCCAUGCCGCGUGUAUGAAGAAGGCCUUCGGGUUGUAAAGUACCUUCAGCGGGGAGGAGGGGAGUAAAGUUAAUACCUUUGCUCAUUGACGUUACCCGCAGAAGAAGCACCGGCUAACUCCGUG